rnacentral:lncRNA from 1 species
GACACCUUUAGUUUCGGCGAGGGAUAUUGGGGCGGCGAAGGGGAGGCGGGGGCCCGAAGGCUUCGGAAAACGACGGGGGAGAGGGCAGAGGAUACCCGUCGAAGCCCCCCCCACCCACAUUUCGAUAUUGGAAUCACUUUCCUUCUUCCCCGGGCCAGCCUUUGCUCUGUCCCCUCAGGUCAACUCAAGGUAGACAGUGUGGCGACUGGAGAGGUCGGGGAACAAGCUUUGUUUCAGCUAAGGGGAAAACAAGCGUUCACAGGAGUCCCCUGACACCUCCCACCCGGAAGAUAGCUAACGGGGGUCCUGCCAACCCUUCCCAUCCAACUUCCAUCUGAAAAGGAUUUUCUGCUAAAGUUGGGUCCACGGCCAUCCGGCACCUGUAAAGCCGGCGGGAGCGUCUGCCCUCUACUCAGUUAAAGCCUGAAGUCGUUUCCUUUCGAUGGCCCUUAGGAGGCUCAAAAGAGGGGCGACAGAUCGUGAUGUGACACGGGCCGGGCGCCCCCAGAAACCCGGGAACAAACGUUUCUACUUUCCAGGUCCACUGGUGUUUGGUGUACCCAUGUGACUAAUUUGUCCAAAGAGAUAUUUACCUCAGAAGACACCUGUAUAAAAGGAAGAGGUCCCUAUGAAGUGGUGAUGGUCCAUGAGGAAGAGGCCUGGAAAUCUAAGCAGGGCUUCCAGCUCCCUGCUUCCUGUCUAAGUCCAGGUACUUACCCCACCUAUAGGUGAG